CCAGCAUGCUCAGGAGCAGGGGCAGCUUCAGAAGGACCACGAGCAGGAAGUGAGGGCUGCUGAGCCGGAACCUGUGGUGGACACGGUGAAAAUGAGUCACUUCCCCGGGAGAACCCCCAGGACCCUUCUCUCCCCACCUCUCCCCAUGCUCUGACUCUGGAGCCCAAAUAACCCAGGAGCAGCCAGGGAAAGGACCUAUGCCAGGGCAGCCCCUUCUGUGGCCCCCAUCCCUCCUUCUCCCUCCAUCAAGGACUGCCCGGGGGGUCUCAUCAAGGAGAGGUGAUGGAGUGAAGACAGAAGAGGGACCCACUUCCAGGAGUGCGCUCCACAGCACCCUCUCUGUCCCUGUCCCACUCACAGCCUCCACUUUAUCAACUGACUUCUUAAAACCAGUCCCCACUCUCGCUUUUUUUAUUUUCUGAGACAGAGUCUCACUCUGUCACCCAGGCUGGAGUGCAGUGGUGCAAUCAUGGCUCACUGCAGCCUUGACUUCCUGGGCUCAAGUGAUUCUCCCACCUCAGCCUCCUGAGUAGCUGGGACUACAGGCGCACCACCACACCUGGCUAAUUUUGUAUUUCGUAGUAGAGACAGGGUUUCACCAUGUUGCCCAGGCUGGUCUCAAUCUCCUGGACUCAAGUGAUCCACCGCCUCGGCCUCCCAAACUGUUGGGAUUGCAGGCGUGAGCCACCACACCCGGCCACCACUCUCACUGUUCCACUCCAGCUCCUUGUUCCCUCCCCUCAGGGUCUAGCAGCAAUAUCACAGCCCUUUCUGGAUAUCUUUGGGAGAGGAGAGAGAACUGAUUCAAACCCCAGCCUGGAGCUGGCCCAUCUCCCCACAGACCCCACAGACAGCUCCUGGUGGCAAAAUCCCCAGCUGAGCAAAGACCUUUGAAAAGGGCCACAGAACUGGGACCCCAAGUCCGGAGCUGGAUGGGGAAGGAGACAGGAAGGAGUGGGGAAGGGAGGAGGGGCUGCACGUCCACCUGAACUCAACCUUCGACCUGAGUCCCAGUAGCUGCCCCAUAGGGAAAGGCGUUCACAGCACAAGUGAUAUUUCCCACUCAGCAUCCACAUGCAGCCUCAGAGAGUAUGAGAAUCAGGACCAGAGAUGGAGAGAAACAGCAGACAGUGACGAUCUCAGGUCACGGUGCGCCACCCCCACCCCCCAGCUUCCACCCCAGGGUUGCUCCCUCCAUGGCCUCCAGGCCCUGCGUGCUUACCCUGAAUUUUGGGUCAACACCUCCCCGGUGCUGAGGUUUCGCCCAGGGUUCACCACCAGGAAGAUGGGAGGUGUGGCUGGAUGUGUGGUCCUCCUUGGGGUUGUAAUUGCUGUUGGAGAUGAAAAUGAUGCAUCAGCCGUGCCUGGGCUCCCAGCCAUGCACAGAACACCCGUAUGGAUGUCAUACAGAAUCACCCACUCACAGAAGAGGCUGGAAAGAUCUUCUGAAGCCAGAUCCAGGGCACCUCCUGGGUGAAACCCCUCAGGGACAAAAAGAGCCCUUACCAGAACCAGCCAUGAGAGUCCCCUCCAAUAAGUGCCAGGUCUUUCUCUGCAUCUCAGAGAAAGACUCUUACCACUCUGCCCACUCUGCCCUCAUCCCACUCUGCCUGGGGUGAGGGCAGGGGUCUCUCUGGGCUUCCGCAGCCAGAUGUGGAGUUCCAGGAGGAGGAGGGGAAGGAGGAGUCUAAAGGAAGAUGGCUCAGCCUGUGGCCCAAGAAGCCUCGUAGAGACCAUGAGAGGGGGCUCUGAGCACCCUUCAUGUGGACACUCUUUUUUUUUUUUUUUUUUUUGAGAUGGAGUUUCACUCUUGUUGCCCAGGUUGGUUGGAGUGCAAUGGCACAAUCUCAGCUCACCACAACCUCCACCUCCCGGGUUCAAGCGAUUCUCCUGCCUCAGCCACCCAAGUAGCUGGGAUUACAGGCAUAUGCCACCACGUUUGGCUAAUUUUGUAUUUUUAGUUGAGAUGGGGUUUCUCCAUGUUGAUCAGGCUGGUCUCGAACUCCUGGCCUCAGGUGAUCUGCCCUCCUUGGCCUCCCAAAGUGCUGGGAUUACAGGCGUGAGCCACCGCGCCCGGCCCAUGUGGAAAGGCCACUGUAGGCCACCCCUAGGGAGGGGAUAGGUUGACACUCGGCUCCUCCUAAGGACUUCAGGUGACCACCAGACUAUUGACAUAGUCUACUCCCUCAUUGCCACUGGACUCCCAGCUCAUGAUCUCCCUAAAGCAGUUGUCCUGGAGGCUCAGCCCUUCACCGGUGCCCGACACAGGCUCAGUGUGAUCCGAUAAGCCGCGUUCAACCUCUCUGUUGCUGGAGAUUCGUUGAUGGACGUGGCAUGAGCCCCACCCCGUUGGAGGGGCAGAGACACAUAAACAGACGGACUCACUUCCGCUGGAAGCAGCCCUGGGAAGGAGCCCCAGCAGGUGCAAUGGGAGCACAGGGGAGAAGCCUAAUCCACCCCCAGGCCAGCAGUGAGGAAAACAUGGGCGGCACCUAGCAGAGGCGAAUGCCGGACCAUGGGAUGCUUUUGGGAAGUGAGAGACAUGAUAGAGUGUGAGUCUGAGGACAGGAGAUGGUGUGGAUAGCUAAGGGGCAGGGGGCAGGGGAAUUUGGUUCAAGAGGGAUGGGGAGGCAGAAAACCACAGGACAAGGAGCCAGCCCCAGGAGGAUCACCCUUGGGCAGGAUGGGGAAGCCUGUCCUCAACCCGAAAGGGAAAGGGGAAGAAUGAGUGUAGAUUGCAUGAAAGUUUGCAAGUGGAGAAGGAAAGAAACUGAUGUCCUGUGUGUUCUCAGGAAGGUAGAUGUAUGGGAGAGUAAUGUUGGAAACUCUUAACUUCUACUGGCAGCCACAGGCACCAUUUUCUCACUUUUUUUCCCCAGCAGCGCUAGAGCAGGUGGAUUUUAGACAGGGCGACCAACUUUCCCAGGACUUUUCUAGCCUUAGCACUGAAAAUCCCACAUUUGGGAAACCCCUUAGUCCUGGGCAAACUGGGAUGAUUAGUGACCUUUAUUUUAGGAUUGAUCCAGGGAUGAGGGUUUUGUCAGGUAGAUAAGGAAAUGGAAUAUGGGAGUUAUGAGUGCUGCUAAGAGAAGAAAAUGUCAGGCUGGGCAUGGUGUCUCACUCCUAUAGUCCCAGCACCUUGGGAGGCCAAAGCGGGUGGAUGACUUGAGGUCAGGAGUUUGAGACCUGUCUGGGCAACGCGGGAAGAUGCUGUCUCUACUAAAAAAUACAAAAUUAGCCAGGCAUGGUAGUGCACACCUGAAGUACCAGCUACUCAGGGGGCUGAGGUGGGAGGAUCACGAGCCCAGGAGGCGGAGGUUGCAGUAAGCCGAGAUCGCUCCACGGCACUCCAGCCUGGGCAACAGAGUGAGACCAUGUCUCAAUAAAAGAAAAAAGAAAAUGUGAUCUAUUGCAGGGGCUCAAAGUGGUCUAGGAAGGAAGUGAGGUCAGAACGGGAGUGAUGGGGGCAAUAAAUUGGCGGAAAUGGAGGGAUCAGAAGACAGAAGGUCACUGUGAGGUUGAGAAUAGGGACAAUGGCAUGAGGAUGGGGGAGAGCUGAUUGAUGAAAAGUUGUCAGAAAAUAGAAUGUCUGAGUUUAAGACUCUGGGCAGCGACCAGGUCGGGUGAUGACAAGCUCUGAGGUGUUUCCAUGGGGUGCAAUUCUGAAGAGAGUAGAAAAUAAAGGACACCAAGGUUGAGAAUGUCAAGGAACCCAAGGCAAGAUUGCCAAGUUAUUCAUUAAAGCCUGCCAAGAUAAUGGCAGAGGUUGGAGUGGAGGCACUGGCAGGACUCCGUUGAAUGAGGGGGAGCAGCCUGGAAGCUGAUGGUCGGCCUUGUCAAGCACAGGUAGAGGGUGGGCAUGGCCAUCUGGCACAGCAUUUAAAGGAAGCAGGUGGAAAGUCAUAGGGCGGAAGUUGUGAUGUGGGCAGGAAGAAUUGGGACACGGCUCCAUGGCCCUCUAGCAUAGGGGGAGUAAGAGAAAGAGUAGCUUCCACUCAAGAAGCUACUAAACAGGAAGGUCUUCCCAAGCAAGACAUAUUUCAAAACAACAUGGUAGGGGGAUGUUCUGUGAGGAGGCUGCAAAUGUACAGGAGUGUUUCUUCUUUGGUACAGGCUUCCCAAAGGGCACGGUGGAAACAGCUUUGGCUCAGCAUGAAGGGGCCUCCUCCACGCUGGAUAAUGGGGUGAGGCCCAGGCCCUAUGGGAGUGAUGGCGCCUGAGCUGUGCACCCCCCAGCCCACCCAAGGCUGAAGGAUCAGCCGCCUCUCUCCAUGCCCAUGCCAUAGGCUCCUCCCAACACCACUGUGACUGAGGACAAGACAAGACUUGGACGCACACUUCAGUGUGCCGCCCACCCUUGUUCCCUUGUCCAGUCGCACCCCAAACCCUGCUGCCAAAGUGAGGGGAGCUCUUACCUGGGGAAACAUACACCCUAACCAGGUCCGAGGGAUCGCGUGACCAUGAAUCCAGGACCCACACUGUCUGAAUUUUGCACCACUUUCUGAAGAUGAGAAGUCCAAGAGCAUCGUAGUGGCAUCUGACAAGCGUCAUUCCAUGGCAGAAGACAAGACAGCAGGCAAGCCUCCUAGACAGAGAGAAAAAGGGGACUGAACUCAGCCUCUCAGGAAACCACUCUCACAAUAACUAACCCACUCCGGAGAUAACAGCAUUAAUCCACUCGGAGGACUGAGCUCUCAUGGCCUAAUCACCUCUUAAAGACCUCACAUCCCAAUGCCAUUACAUUGACAGUUAAGUUUCAACACGAGUUUCUGAGGGAACAUUCAAACCAUAGCAACCCUUGUGCCAUUUAUUCAGCAGAGACAACAGUUGCAGGCUUCAGUUCUUUCCACCAAGAGGACCAAACAAAUCUUCAGCCUUCUUGGUUCUGCUUUUAUAAUGUUUUCUUCUGGUUCCUUUUUUGAAAAUCUUAUCCCUACAGUUGUUUAUAAAAUAAAAGAAAUGGGAAUAAGCAA
rnacentral:lncRNA from 10 species